rnacentral:misc_RNA from 1 species
CGCUUGUCUACAUGUGUGGCAGCGGAAGCGGAAGCGGAAAUCAGAAGUGGUUUUGAGUGAUCACGCCUACUCAGUGGCUAUUGAGGGAGGUAUAGGGCCGAUUUGCCAACCAUAAACAGGAAGCCUUGAAAUUUUAGACGAUAAAAGCAAGCGCCUCUGCCCAGGCCUCCUAAGCGACUCCACAACAAAGGGUGCGAUGCACGUGUUACCACCACAACAAAGGACCAUGCCCGCCGAGGACCCUGUCGUGGUGGAGGACGGCUUACUAGCCCUGGAAGACAUAGAGAUUGUUGAGGAGCCUGGUGAGGAGGGCACUCACCCUGUCAUUAUUCAUGGUGAGUCGACCCACAUCAUUGUUAACCUGAUAGAGGUACCAGCUGGCCUCCAUGGGCCCAAGAGAGGAAUGGUUGGGCAGAUGCCAAGGCCUCAACUGUUGGUAGUGGUGACAGGGAAGGUGCCCAGUGAGGUGCAUCUCCUGGGCCUUGGACGUCGAUGUGUGGAGCGAUACACGCCAGAGCCAGAUUUAUUUUGCCACUGCAGUCGCUGGGGACACAAGGAGUGGCGUUGCCAGUCUGCCCCUCGCUGUAAAUACUGUGCUCCAUGGCCCCCAUAAGUCAGUACAGUGCCUGGAUAAGAUCAAGGAGGGCACACCAAAAUUCCUCCUCGCUGCUGUAAUUGUCAGGGUGACCACAACGUCCACUCCACCCUCUGCACCGUCACGCCUCGGCCCCACAGGGAGCCUGCCACUGAUGAGGGCCUUGCUGACCAACCACUCCACCCUGGAGAUGACCCUCCCCGUGCAGUCCGCCCCGGCAGUGCCCAAGAAGCGCCUGACGGUGCCGCCAUCCAGGAUGGCGGGCCUCGUCGUCCAUGUGGUUGCGUGGUACGCUGCCGUGAUAAAUACUUUUGGGAAGUCAGUGCGUCUCCUGGUGUGUGCUGCACCAAAGGGACACACUCUGCGUCAUUAUGUCACAAUCCAUAAUGUCCUCUCAUUGCUAAAUUUAGGCCACAAGACCAACAUGACCUGUAUAGCCUCAUUAACCAUCUCCUAGACCCAGCCACUCUCAGGGAUAUACUCAAGGAAUAUCCUAUGUUUGCUCCCAGACUGUAGGAUAUUUAUGCAAUAAGGUGUGCAAUAUAUUAUAUAUUUUUGUAUUUUUGAUACUCUACCCUUACGUCUUUGUCUUGGGAGUGGGUGGCAAGGUCCAUCCUCCUCAUUUGUUGCAUUUCAUUAUUAACGCAACAAUAAAUGUAUCAAUCAA